rnacentral:pre_miRNA from 1 species
CCAUAUCAAAUUUGUAUUGAGUUGGAACGUUUGCCUACGUUUGCCGCUACAGUGCCCCACUGUUCCAACUGCAUAAAAAGUUGAGUUA